rnacentral:tRNA from 1 species
UCCACUUGUAAUGCGAUGGUCAUCGGUUCGACUCCGAUAGCGGGCU